rnacentral:rRNA from 1 species
AGUCGGACGAGCACUAUUAUUUGAUUUCUUCGGAAUGAAGAUUUUAGUGACUGAGUGGCGGACGGGUGAGUAACGCGUGGGUAACCUGCCUCAUACAGGGGGAUAACAGUUAGAAAUGACUGCUAAUACCGCAUAAGACCACAGUACCGCAUGGUACAGGGGUAAAAACUCCGGUGGUAUGAGAUGGACCCGCGUCUGAUUAGGUAGUUGGUGGGGUAACGGCCUACCAAGCCGACGAUCAGUAGCCGACCUGAGAGGGUGACCGGCCACAUUGGGACUGAGACACGGCCCAAACUCCUACGGGAGGCAGCAGUGGGGAAUAUUGCACAAUGGGGGAAACCCUGAUGCAGCGACGCCGCGUGAGCGAUGAAGUAUUUCGGUAUGUAAAGCUCUAUCAGCAGGGAAGAAAAUGACGGUACCUGACUAAGAAGCACCGGCUAAAUACGUGCCAGCAGCCGCGGUAAUACGUAUGGUGCAAGCGUUAUCCGGAUUUACUGGGUGUAAAGGGAGCGUAGACGGAGUGGCAAGUCUGAUGUGAAAACCCGGGGCUCAACCCCGGGACUGCAUUGGAAACUGUCAAUCUGGAGUACCGGAGAGGUAAGCGGAAUUCCUAGUGUAGCGGUGAAAUGCGUAGAUAUUAGGAGGAACACCAGUGGCGAAGGCGGCUUACUGGACGGUAACUGACGUUGAGGCUCGAAAGCGUGGGGAGCAAACAGGAUUAGAUACCCUGGUAGUCCACGCCGUANACGAUGACUACU